GGGACCAUAGCUCAUUGGUAGAGUACUUCGUUGACAUCGAAGGGGUAGCAAGUUCGAUCCUUGCUGGUCCCACCA
rnacentral:tRNA from 1 species